GCCAGACUCCUACGGGAGGCAGCAGUGGGGAAUAUUGCACAAUGGGGGAAACCCUGAUGCAGCGACGCCGCGUGGGCGACGAAGCGCUCCGGCGCGUAAAGCCCUGUCAGCAGGGAAGAACAAAGACAGUACCUGACCAAGAAGCCCCGGCUAACUACGUGCCAGCAGCCGCGGUAAUACGUAGGGGGCAAGCGUUAUCCGGAUUUACUGGGUGUAAGGGGAGCGUAGACGGCAUAGCAAGUCUGAAGUGAAAGCCCGUGGCUCAACCGCGGAACUGCUUUGGAAACUGUUAAGCUGGAGUACUGGAGAGGCAAGCGGAAUUCCUAGUGUAGCGGUGAAAUGCGUAGAUAUUAGGAGGAACACCAGUGGCGAAGGCGGCUUGCUGGACAGAGACUGACGUUGAGGCUCGAAAGCGUGGGGAGCAAACAGGAUUAGAUACCCGAGUA
rnacentral:rRNA from 1 species